GAAUCUAAAACGACAUAGACUCGUUACGAAUAUAUAACUUACUUUACGUAAUUCAUAUGUAGCGUAACGUUAGGAAAUAACUUUGUCACUAUCUAUGUGAUGUGUUCAGACACUAAGUUACACACUCUCUCAACGUGUCGUUCAUUUGGCAUUUAUAAUGUGUAUAAUAUGAUUGUAUCGAUAGAGAGCGUUAUUGUUAAUUCGAUACGACAGUCAGUUUUUAAAACGUUUUAUUGUACUGUAGAAGGAAUUAGCCCCAAAAGAUGUUCUUGUUGCCAUCACUCGUUCUCUUUAAAAUCACGUUGUUUUAUAAAAUCCAGUUCUGCAGGUUUAACGUGUUUUGCAAAUCUUUCUAGGAGAACGUGGGCGUGUUUACGGUUCAUUUUAACACAAUUAGUCAUUUUUAAUGUGAGGUGUAUAAAAGUUAGUUAAAAUAAUUUAACAUCUUCCUCCAUACCAAUCAUUUAAAACAAGUUAUCGUUUGGAAUAUUAACGUAAUUGUGCGUUACGUUAAUCACGCUUCAACGUGAGGAUUUGGCAACCCAACGUUAAAACAUUUGGCCGAGUUUACGAUUGGCUGUCGGUGGAAAAGACCGGUGAUAAGAGUGAGUGUGUUAUUGGCUGUCGGUUGAAUAGAGAGGCGAUACGACUUGUGUAUGAUUGGCCGUGGUCGGAACACAGGGGAUGAUCUGCAGUGUUUGAUUGGGUGUCGGCGGAACUGAGGGCGGUACGAUUAUGCGUUUGAUUGGCUGCCGUCAGAACACAGGGGCCUGAUCGGCUGUGUGUGAUUGGCUGAAGUGAAGGACGGAGGGGAAAUGUUGAGCUGAUCAGCUGGUCUCUGCAGAUAUCCGACUCCUGGAAAACAAUCUAGAGAGAAAAAGUGCUGAAUGCCAGAAUCACCGGGACGAGAAACACACACACGCCCCUGCGGAACAACCUGAUCCAGCGCGGAAAGAUUUUUACCGGCCCUGCCACCUGACUCCAGCCGAGUUAAACGCUGGACUGCACUGUAUAAUCUCCAGUCUCAUCUCUGUUUCAGUGAUGCGAAAGCGGAAAAACAGCGCAGAUCAUGAUAGCGCGUUUACGUCUUCACUGCUGGACGCCAGAUCCGAUCUAAAGCAUUGCAACAAGACGACAGACGCCGGGUCUGAAGCAGAAGGUUCGGGGAAAGCGAUGGGAAGACGUUACAAAAGGGGCGGCGUUAUGUGGAGGCUGAAGAGGAUAAUGAUCUGGGUGCUGGGAAUCUACAUCGCCAUCCCUGUCAUUAUCAAACUCUGUCCGUCAAUACAAGCCAAAAUAGUUUUUUUAAACUUUGUACGAGUACCGUAUUUUAUAGACCUGAAGAGUCCGCAGGAUCAGGGGUUAAACCACACACACAACUUCUACCUGCAGCCAGAGGAAGGAAUCAACAUUGGAGUGUGGCAUACAGUACCUGUGGUGAUGUGGAGGGAAGCUCAGGGUAAAGAUGCUGAAUGGUUUGACAAAAGCUUCCAGUCCAAUCACCCUGUCAUCCUUUAUCUCCAUGGCAACGCAGGGACGAGAGGAGGAGAUCACAGAGUUCAGCUGUACAAGGUUCUCAGUUCAUUAGGUUAUCAUGUAGUCACGUUCGAUUAUAGAGGUUGGGGUGACUCUGAGGGCAGCCCAUCCGAGGAAGGGAUGAUGUCAGACUCUCUCUUUCUCUACCAGUGGAUAAAGCAGCGGAUUGGCCAGAAGCACCUCUACAUUUGGGGUCACUCGCUGGGAACAGGAGUGGCCACAAACCUAGUGAGACGUCUGUGUGACAGGGGAACGCCACCUGAUGCUCUCAUUCUAGAAUCGCCCUUUACAAACAUCAGAGAGGAGGCAAAGAGCCACCCCUUUUCUAUGAUUUACAGAUAUCUUCCAGGCUUUGACUGGUUCUUUUUGGAUGCCAUAACUGCAAACGACAUACGGUUCGCCAGCGACGAGAAUGUUAACCACAUAUCAUGUCCGGUUCUGAUCCUGCAUGCAGAAGACGACACAGUUGUGCCCUUUCACCUGGGAAAAAAGGUGCUGUAUUGUUUUGCAUUUGUCCGCAGCUGUAUGAUUUGGCCGCCCAAAGCAAGAGUUUAAACGGUCAUAAGGUUAAAUUUAUUCCGUUCCCAAGCUCUCUGGGAUACAGACACAAGUUUAUCUACAAGAGUCCACAGCUUCCAAAUAUACUCAGUGAUUUCCUCAGUACGUCGCAUCUGCACGUGUAGUCGAGAUCACUGCCGACUGCCCUAUCUAACAGCAUCAGUCAAACACACACAAUGUACAUCAUGUGCACGGUGAACUGCAUGUGUACAUGGACACACACACAAGCAUGGACUGAAAAUGCAUCGGCUCUUUUGCAUUCCUUUAUUAACUUUAAUGCUAAGAAGAAAGUCAUUGCCAAGUAACCGAGGGAUGGGUGAUUUGUUUCGCUGUCUCCCUUUGUCAUGGUUACAGAUCUGAAGGGGCAUCAGGAGUAUGCAAUAUGCAAAUAUGUACUAAAAUGAAUGCUCACCAAGCCUCUUCCAACCAAUAAAGAACAAGUGAAGUUUUAAUGAUGGCUUUGUUGAAGCCAGACGUGGAUCAAAGUAGAAAAAGGGAUGAAGCAGGACAAUGUGCUAUUAUGAUGUCAACAUACAUGCUAAAAAUGUCUGUAGUCGCAGACCAUAGUUCACUCCUACUUUAACAAAUCUGACCGAAUAUCAGGGACCUGGUUUUAAUUCUGAAAUCCACUCAAUGUGAACAGCGACUUGUUUUAUGUUUAACUUGAAUUGUACAAUAAAAUGUCAGUCUUUUU